AAGGGAACUCUCUGAAUGAGUGGGCAGAUCCCAGGCAUAAAAGAGGCUGGGACUACAAGGAGAUGCUCAUUCAGCAUCUUACUCACUCAUUCAUUCAGAAUGGCAACAACUGCCUUCAUCUGUGAUGUGGAGGACUCUGAGGGAUCUGUGGGCAGCCAUCAGAUCAGGCAGCGGGUCCGUUCCUACACUCUCCUCCAGGUCCUUGUGGGUGUACUGGUGGUUCUCAUGCUGGCAGUGACUGGAGGCUUUAUCUGGAUGAUGCGCUCUCAGAAUUGCUCAGUGAGGGUUUGGGCUGUCAGGUUUAAUGGAACAGACACAAACUUCACUUCACCUGAAAGUAAGGAAUAUGUGAUCUUCGGCAAGGUCUUUACGGAAAAAAAUUCUACUGUUGACAAAAUAAAUAGCUUCAAGCUGGUUCGGAAACUACCAAAACAAAAUCACAGUGAUAUCGGCAAGACUGACAAGACAUCACGAGAAAUCACGAGACAAAAUAUCACUGAAGAGUUCAGAGUAAUUGCAAAGCUUGAGAAAGGUACUGGACUGAGCAUAUUGCUGAACUUAAAUGACAUGAAAAUUGAUGAAAAAAAAUCCACCUUGGUAGUUUAUUAAAAGAUCUUCUGACCUCGAUGAGAACACAUCCAAGCUAUUGCCGGUAUCCGGCCCAAGGGGAUAAACCCUCUCUUUAUGUUAUAGAGAUUUACAGGCUGCAUCUGAAUGAACAUACUAUCAAUAUCAGUAUCAAGAGCUUAGAGGGAUCCUGACAAGGCCUACUUGUGAAAUGUUUGGAUCAGCAAAAUUUUCCAUGCUUUAUAAUAAUUGCGGAGUUUCUCAAUGGAAUUCAGUAAAACUUUUGUUUUUUUUCAAGAGUGUGAGUGUGGUAUAGUUACUGUGUACCUCCGCUAACACUAUAUAAAUAUAUAUUUAAAUAUUAUAUAAAUAAAUCAUUUAAAUCUAUUUAUAGAUAAUUGUUGAUUGUAUUUGCAUUACAUUGUUGUUGGUUUCCUAUUUGUUUGAAAUUUGUUAACAAACGUAAAAACAACUGUUUGUAUUGACACCUAUGGUGUCCACAGCUGUGUAGUUACUGUUCAACCAUCUGAACUUCUGAAUCAUGUAUUCAUUACACAUAUUAAAACGUUUUCCUGACAAAAGCAUGUUUGUUUGCCUCUCCUCAGUCUUUAUGAAUUAGCCUAUUACUUUUGCAUUUUAAACUAAAAUCUAAGUUUUAUUAAACGGGUGGUUGAUUAUUUCACCUUUUUUUUUUUUUUUUUUUUUUUUUUACUUUAGUUAGUGUGUAAUGUUGCUGUUUGAGCAUAAACAACAUCUGCAAAGUUACGACGCUCAAAGUUCAAUGCAAAGGGAGAUUUUUUUUCUUUUAAAGAAAUCGGUUUAAGGACUACAACAAAUGGCUGGUAGGAACUACAAUGAGCUUCUUCCUGGGUUAGUGACAUCGCUAACCCUAAAAUUUACAUAAACCCUGCCCCCGAGAACACGCAACAAAGGGGGUGAGGCCAUGUUGGGCUGCUUUAGAGAAGAGGAAGAGUUGUUGUAGUAGAGUGUUGUUACCAUGCCGUCAUUUUACGCUGGACUGCUUCACAGUCGAGGGUCAGUUCAAUGCUGGAUUUGCACAAAAGAUUAAUAUGAUGGCACAUGCUAGUUGUUGAGUUGAAUCAACUCCACAGCAACUACAUAAAUUUAUCCACUAACCAUUCAGAAACGUCCAGUUUCAUUCUAAAAGUUGUAACUUCUUCCCGAGUCUCUCCAUCAGUGUCUGACUCCAGUUU